rfam:Gorilla gorilla gorilla genomic chromosome, chr5, whole genome shotgun sequence
GCCAGGUGUGGUGGCACAUGUCUGUGGUCCCAGCUACUGAAGAGGCUGAGGUGGGAUGACUGCUUAAGCCCAGGAAUUUGGGGCUAUAGUGAGCUAUACUGAUGGGGUAUCUAUACUGUUUGGCAUCAAUAUGGUGGCCACUGGGGAGCAUGGUACCACCAGGUUGCCUAAGGAGGGGUGAACUGGCCCAGGUUGGAAACAGAGCGGGUCAAAACUUCUGUGCUGGUCAGUAGUGGGAUCAUGCCUGUGAAUUGCCACUGCACUCCAGUCUGGGCAACAUAGCAAGACCCUAUCUUUA